GGCAACUGCCCUGGGAGGGGGGUGUGACCGUGAUUGAUUUUCUAAAUCAGAUUGUCGCCCCGCUCAUUGUGGGAGUGGUACUCCUGCUGCUCGAACAUAGGUUGAAUGAUCGGCGAUAGUCUUUGCAGUUGCCUUCAACCCACACGCCCGUCGUCCACGAUUUAUCGCAGCGGGUGAAAAA
rnacentral:ncRNA from 17 species